rnacentral:ncRNA from 1 species
ACAGAUCCCACAAAAAGUACCUGGGUGUAUCCAAAGUUAAUUUUGUAAAUUUAUUGGCAAUAAAAUUUGUCAAUAUAUAAAUAUAUUAUAUAGCAAAAGCUUUUGCUUUUACUUGUAUAAUGUAUUUUUUAUUUUAAUCUGUAAUGUAUUGCUAUCAAUAUAUUCAGUUAUUUAUCUAUUAAGUUAGAUUUAUUUAUUUUUUUUUAAGUAAGAUUUUACCUAUAUGGAAAAUAGUAGUAAAUAAAACCCUAACAAUAGUAGGGUUUUAAUUUGUUUUCUUAAUAUGCUAACCCUUUUGGAAGGUAUUAAGAAAAUGAUUAUUAUUUUACUUUAAAAGUUUAAUGGCUUAAUCUUGCUUUACUGUUUGACUUACACGUCUAUCAGUUGCGUAAGCAGGGCAUAUGAUCACAAGAUGCAUAAAGGAAAGGUCUUGGAUUUUUGAAAAAGCUACGCUAGGGAUAACAGGCUAAUUGCGCCAGAGAGUACAAAUUGAGUGCGCAGUUUGGCACCUCGAUGUCGGCUUAGCUCAUCCACAUGAAUGCAGAAAUCAUGAAGGGUACGACUGUUCGUCGAUUAAAGAGCUACACGAGCUGGGUUAAAUACGUCGUGAGACAGUAUGGUUUCUAUCUUCUAGAGGAAAUUAGAGUAAAAUAAGGAUAUGCCCUUCGUACGAAAGGAGUUGGGUAUGGUAACCUCUGGUUUACCUGUUGUUUAUGAAUUAAUAUAUUCUGUGUUAUUUUUAGCAGUUAUUAUCAGUAAUACUAGAGUAGCUUAUCUGCGAUUUGCGCUUUAGGUUAAAAGUACCACUAAAUAAUCUACAGAUACUCAUGUACAGAUAUAUCAUAGGCACGGCAGGAAACCCACGUUAGUUAUAGAUAAGUGCUGAAAGCAUAUAGGCGCGAAGCAUAUCUUAAGAUACUCUUAAAUAUACGUGGUAGAAUACCACGAGUAUUAGUGUAAGCGCGAAGCGUUAUACAUUAAUACUGUAUAGGCUUUUGCUUU